rnacentral:rRNA from 1 species
GAUGAACGCUAGCGGCAGGCUUAACACAUGCAAGUCGUGGGGCAACGCGGACUUCGGUCUGGCGGCGACCGGCAAACGGGUGCGGAACACGUACGCAACCUCCCUCAGAGCGGGGAAUAGCCUCUCGAAAGAGAGAUUAAUACCCCAUAGUAUCUUGAAGACGCAUGUCUAUGAGAUUAAAGCUUCGGCACUUUGAGAUGGGCGUGCGGCUGAUUAGGUAGUUGGUAGGGUAACGGCCUACCAAGCCGACGAUCAGUAGCUGAUGUGAGAGCAUGAUCAGCCACACGGGCACUGAGACACGGGCCCGACUCCUACGGGAGGCAGCAGUGAGGAAUAUUGGUCAAAUGGAGGAAACUACUGAACCAGCCAUGCCGCGUGGAGGAUGAAGGUCCUCUGGAUUGUAAAACUCCUUUUAUAAAAGAAGAAACCCCAUUUUUCUAAAUAGGGUUGACGGUACUUUAUGAAUAAAGCACCGGCUAACUCCGUGCCAGCAGCCGCGG